rnacentral:piRNA from 1 species
UUUGACCAGGGAGGACAGCAUUUUGUA